GGGUCAGUAGGUUGGUCGUGCCACCGGUACGUACUGGUCUCACUGAUUCCUCCUUCCUGAAGAACCGUAAUGCCAUUAAUUUGGUGUCGCGGGGAAACAGGACCGUUACUUUGAAAAAAUUAGAGUGUUUAAAGCAAGCUAACGCUUGAAUACAUUAGCAUGGAAUAAUGAAAUAGGACGAUCGAUCCUAUUUUGUUGGUUUCUAGGAUUGACGUA
rnacentral:rRNA from 1 species